UGGUUGAUCCUGCCUGUAGUCAUAUGCUUGUCUCAAAGAUUAAGCCAUGCAUGUCUAAGUAUAAACAUUUCUGCCCUGAAACUGCGCAUGGGGCUCUAUAUCACUUAUAGAUUAUUUGAGGGGACCUUACGACAUGGGUAACCGUAUGAAUUCUCGAGAUAAUACAUGCGUCUAGUCCCACCCUUUUCUGGAGGGAGGUAUUUUUUUAAAACAAAAACAACCGGGGCACCCCGCUUCUUGGUGAAUCAUAAUAAUUCCUUCCAAAUCCCUGUGUUCCUUGUGCCCGGGGUUCGGUCAUUCAUCUUUCUGCCCUAUCUUCUAUCGACGGAAAUGUACCGAACUAGCGGGGCAUUGACGAGGGACGAAAAAUUAUGGAUCCAUUCCAGAGAGGCAGCCUGAGAAAUGUCUAUCCCAUCGAAGGAAGGAAGCAGGCGCACUAAUUACCCACUCCUGACACAGGUAGGGAGUGACAAUAAAUAUACAUGCCGGUUAUUCAUGUCUGGUUUGGGAAUGAGUACUAUUUAUAUCCCAUAACAAAAAUCUUUUGGAGGGCAACUGGGAAGAGGGAGAAUUCCAGCACUGUGGCGGUUUUUUCUAGUGUAUCAGAUCUCGGUACCACG
rnacentral:rRNA from 1 species